rnacentral:tRNA from 1 species
GUUGGGGUGGCAGAUUCCGGAUAUUGCAAAAGACCUAAGCCCUUUAUAAAGAGGUUCAAAUCCUCUCCUUAACU